AUAGUAUACUAGUCUUUUUGGAUC
rnacentral:snRNA from 1 species